AUAUAGAAUGCUCUCCUCCUCUCAAGCACCAGGUCUGCCUACACACGGCUGUGCUUCCCACCAUGAUGAUAAUGAACUAAACCCCUGAAACUAAGCCAGCCCAGAGUAUGUUUUCCAUCAUGAGAGCUGCCAUGGUCAUGGGGUCUCUUCACAGCAAGAGAACCCCUGACUCAGACAGUGAGUUUGGAGGUGAGAUGACGAUUGUGAGGAAUCAGCUCUCUCUUUCCAUCACUGCGGAUCCCAGGGAAGGACGUUAGGUCGUCAGCUCAGUGACAAGCGUCUGUACCUCUAAUCCAUCUCGACCCUGCCCUUUGCAGUAGCCAUGUCUGUUUGUCAACUUGAUGAUACCCGGAAUGAGCAAUCAUCCAGAAGUGGAGGACAUACCUAUGGGAGAUGACUCCGCUGGUUUUGUAGUGGAUGAAUCUACUUCUAGACCAGCUUUGAGGUGAGAUCUGGAUCUUGAGGUGGGAAGACAUACCUUUAACCUGGGCCACACCCUCUGCUGGAAGUCUAUGGAAGAGGACGACAUAGGAAGCUUUCGUUCUUUGCCUGCUCACCCUCGCCUCUCGAGCACAUCCAUCCCUUCACUGGCGUUAGCGCCGCCUACUUCUGCGGGAUUCCGGCAGAUACAGGAGAUCAGCUGAGACAUCCAGCCGUGUGGACUGAGCAACCACUGGAUUCUUGGGCUUUAUGUUCACGGUCAACUGUUGUUUGAUUAGCUGGACAACAGCCUCUCUCUCUCUCUCUCUCUCUAUAUAUAUAUNNNNNNNNNNNNNNNNNNNNNNNNNNNNNNNNNNNNNNNNNNNCUCCUCCUCCUUCUUCUUCUUCUUCUUCUUCUUCUUCUUCUUCUUCUUCUUCUUCUUCUUCGAGAUAGUCUCCCAUAGUUGCUCAGGCCCUUGGGCUUCCUCUGCAGCACAAAUAGCUUUGAAUUUUCUCUCCUGUCUCAGCCUCCAGUAGCUAGGAUUAUAGUCUGUUGCCACCAGGUCUGGCUUACUAGCAUUAUUUUGACACCACUAAUUUUGUGUUAUAGCAUCAAUAGAAAAACCAGCUGAAUCUAGUCAAUGAAAAACCCAAAACAAGACAUUAGCAUAGGUGCCACCAGCAAUAUCUGCAGAAGACCACGGACUCGGAGUGGAGUCCAGCAUCUGCUCAGUACACCAAGCGAAUGUCGGGAAAGUUCAAAGGCAGGACCUGCAAAUCAUUGGCUCCUGGAGACCCUGAAAUGGACUGAGCAGCUAACUAUUAUAUCUGUGUGUAUGUGUCAGUUCUCUUGCUCUGCAGACACCUUCAGAAUUCAGCGCUGGCUGCCGUUCUUAGAACCUGUUCUGUUCUUGGAGCUGCGUCAUUGUUGUAUUGUUUUCUUUGUUCAACUAAACUCUAUUUCCUAUGAUAGGACUAAGGAAUUCUUCCUUUCCUCAAUACAAUUAUAUCAAUAAUUAAAUAUGAAAUGUGUGGACCCAGCUAU
ensembl:lincRNA C430042M11Rik RIKEN cDNA C430042M11 gene